rnacentral:rRNA from 1 species
CGGCGUGGAUUAGGCAUGCAAGUCGCACGAAUCACUGUAGCAAUAUAGUGGUGAGUGGCGUAAGGGUGAGUAACGCGUGGGUAAUGUACCUCUAGCGCUGGGGAUAACCUGCCGAAAGGCGGGCUAAUACCGAAUGUGGUCAAUAAUCGCAAGUUUGUUGACUAAAGGCGGGGAUCGUAAGACCUGCCGCGCUGAGAUCAGCCCGCGUCCUAUCAGCUUGUUGGUGGGGUAAUGGCCUACCAAGGCAUUUGACGGGUAGCUGGUCUGAGAGGAUGGUCAGCCACACUGGGACUGAGACACUGCCCAGACUCCUACGGGAGGCUGCAGUCGAGAAUAUUUAGCAAUGGACGAAAGUCUGACUAUGCGACGCCGCGUGCAGGAUGAAGGUUUUCGGAUCGUAAACUGCUUUUGUUAGGAAAGAAAAUGCUAAACCUAAUAAGUUUAGAACUGACGGUACCUAACGAAUAAGCCACGGCUAACUCCGUGCCAGCAGCCGCGGUAAUACGGAGGUGGCGAGCGUUACUCGGUUUGACUGGGUGUAAAGGGUCCGCAGGCGGUUUGUUAAGUAGAAAGUGAAAUCCUUCGGCUUAACCGGAGAAUUGCUUUCUAAACUAUCAUACUGGAGGAUGGGAAGAGGAAAACGGAACUGUCAGUGUA